UCCGCGGUAGCUCAAUGGUAGAGCAGCUCGCUGUUAACGAGUUGGCUGUAGGUUCGAGUCCUACCCGCGGAG
rnacentral:tRNA from 1 species